GACGAACGCUGGCGGCGUGCUUAACACAUGCAAGUCGAACGGAAAGGCCCCUUUGGGGGUACUCGAGUGGCGAACGGGUGAGUAACACGUGAGUAACCUGCCCUUGACUUCGGGAUAACUUCAGGAAACUGGGGCUAAUACCGGAUAGGAAUCCUUGCUGCAUGGUGGGGGUUGGAAAGCUUCGGCGGUUUUGGAUGGACUCGCGGCUUAUCAGCUUGUUGGUGGGGUAGUGGCUUACCAAGGCUUUGACGGGUAGCCGGCCUGAGAGGGCGACCGGCCACAUUGGGACUGGGAUACGGCCCAGACGCCUACGGGAAGCAGCAGUGGGGAAUAUUGCACAAUGGGCGGAAGCCUGAUGCAGCAACGCCGCGUGCGGGAUGACGGCCUUCGGGUUGUAAACCGCUUUCAGCAGGGGCGAAGCUUGUGGUGACGGUACCUGCAGAAGAAGCACCGGCUAACUACGUG
rnacentral:rRNA from 1 species